rnacentral:rRNA from 1 species
CCUACGGGGGGCUGCAGUGGGGGAUAUUGCACAAUGGGGGGAACCCUGAUGCAGCGACGCCGCGUGGGUGAAGGAGUGCUUCGGCAUGUAAAGCCCUAUCGGCAGGGAAGAAGCAAGACGGUACCUGACUAAGAAGCCCCGGCUAACUACGGGCCAGCAGCCGCGGUAAUACGUAGGGGGCGAGCGUUAUCCGGAUUCACUGGGUGGAAAGGGCGCGUAGACGGCCAUGCAAGCCAGGGGUGAAACCCCGGGGCCCAACCCCGGCACUGCCCUUGGAACUGCAUGGCUGGAGUGAGGGAGGGGCAGGCGGAAUUCCUAGUGUAGCGGUGAAAUGCGUAGAUAUCAGGAGGAACACCGGCGGCGAAGGCGGCCUGCUGGACUGCGACUGACGUUGAGGCUCGAAAGCGUGGGGAGCGAACAGGAUUAGAUACCCUUGUAGUC